CCUACGGGUGGCAGCAGUGAGGAAUAUUGGUCAAUGGUCGGGAGCCUGAACCAGCCAAGUCGCGUGAGGGACGACGGUCCUAUGUAUUGUAAACCUCUUUUGUCGGGGAACAAAGACUCCGACGCGUGGACGGAUGAGUGUACCCGAAGAAAAAGCAUCGGCUAACUCCGUGCCAGCAGCCGCGGUAAUACGGAGGAUGCGAGCGUUAUCCGGAUUUAUUGGGUUAAAAGGGUGCGUAGGCGGACUGUCAAGUCAGCGGUAAAAAUGCGGUGCUCAACGCCGUACAGCCGUUGAAACUGGCAGUCUCGAGUGGGCGAGAAGUAUGCGGAAUGCGCGGUGUAGCGGUGAAAUGCAUAGAUAUCACGCAGAACUCCGAUUGCGAAGGCAGCAUACCGGCGCCCGACUGACGCUGAGGCACGAAAGCGUGGGUAUCGAACAGGAUUAGAUACCCGUGUAGUC
rnacentral:rRNA from 1 species